rnacentral:rRNA from 1 species
AUUGAACGCUGGCGGCAGGCCUAACACAUGCAAGUCGAACGAGUGGCGGACGGGUGAGUAAUGUCUGGGAAACUGCCCGAUGGAGGGGGAUAACUACUGGAAACGGUAGCUAAUACCGCAUACCAUCGGAUGAGCCCCGAUGGGAUUAGCUAGUAGGGGGGGUAAAGGCUCACCUAGGCGACGAUCUCUAGCUGGUCUGAGAGGAGGACCAGACACAAUGGGACGGAGACACGGACAAGACCCCUACGGAAGGCAGCAGUGGGGAAUAUGGCACAAUGGGGGAAAGCAUGAUGCAGCCAUGCGGCGUGUAUGAAGAAGGCCUUAGGGUUGUAAAGUACUUUCAGCGGGGAGGCGUUACCCGCAGAAGAAGCACCGGCUAACUCCGUGCCAGCAGCCGCGGUAAUUC